rnacentral:rRNA from 1 species
UACAGAGGGUGCAAGCGUUAAUCGGAAUUACUGGGCGUAAAGCGCACGUAGGCGGUUUUUUAAGUCAGAAGUGAAAUCCCCGGGCUCAACCUGGGAACUGCUUUCAAAACUGCUGAGCUAGAGUACGGUAGAGGGUGGUGGAAUUUCCUGUGUAGCGGUGAAAUGCGUAGAUAUAGGAAGGAACACCAGUGGCGAAGGCGACCACCUGGACUGAUACUGACACUGAGGUGCGAAAGCGUGGGGAGCAAACAGG